rnacentral:rRNA from 1 species
UAAGGAAUAUUGGUCAAUGGACGCAAGUCUGAACCAGCCAUGCCGCGUGAAGGAUGAAGGUCCUCUGGAUUGUAAACUUCUUUUAUCUGGGACGAAAACGGGAUUUUUAUCUCAAUUGACGGUACCAGAGGAAUAAGCACCGGCUAACUCCGUGCCAGCAGCCGCGGUAAUACGGAGGGUUCGAGCGUUAUCCGGAUUUACUGGGUUUAACGGGUGCGUAGGUGGGCUUAUAAGUCAGUGGUGAAAUCUCCGAGCUUAACUUGGAAACUGCCUUUGAUACUAUAGGUCUUGAAUUAUCUGGAGGUAAGCGGAAUAUGUCAUGUAGCGGUGAAAUGCUUAGAUAUGACAUAGAACACCAAUUGCGAAGGCAGCUUACUACAUAUAAAUUGACGCUGAGGCACGAAAGCGUGGGGAUCAAACA